AACUGGCAGGCCCCAAGGAGCCCAGACAGGUGGCGGGGGGCCCUCUCCUGGCUGCCCCGUGCCCCCUCUGACCCAGCGCAGGCGGCCUCUCUCUACUCCUGUCUGAACCUGCUGCCUGGGAGGAGCUGAUGUCAGUCAUCCCGCCAGUGGAGCUGCGGGCCACCUCGGGCUCCCAUCCCGGCCCUGCACAGGUCCUAACUCCUCCCUGCUGGCAUCUCUCCAGCCAUGGCAGACAGCCCAGCUUGGGAAAGCACUGGGCUGGCCCAGUGGUGAGUGUCCCAGCCGGGUAACCCAGCCCCAGCUUGACAAAUAAUAUCUGCAGCUUGUCUAGCCUGGCAGUGAGAGCCCGGCCAAAGGGCCAAGUUCCAAGCUAGGUCUUCAAAGGACAGAAAAGACUCUGGAAACUACAUGACAACUGGCCACAGAUCUCUACGGAGUUAUCCUAAGAAGAAAUCACACCCGGUCCCCAAACGGGACUAUCAGAGCUUAAAAGUUCCCAAGAGAGCAUCAGCUCCAACACCUGAAACUACUCAUGAAGAAACCACGCAGAGGAAGAAAGUCCUCUUUUUAACAUCAGAUGGCAAGUCAGUGGGUGAUUCUGGAGUGAUGUGUCCUCCGUGGCUCCCUGACUUUGAAGAGCUAACGUCUGCAAGCCAAUCAUAUGUGCAUUUUAACAGCUUUGUUGAAAUAAAAGUUACGUAACGUUGAAGUCACUUGUUUUAAGUGUAUGGUUCA
rnacentral:lncRNA from 1 species